GAGAAGAGACAGAGAAUAUGGUUGAAGUAAUAAGAAGAUUUGCAAAGAAGAAUAAUGAAGAGAGGAACAGAGAAGAGAAACAAUGGGGUCCUCUGUAGAGAUGAGCAUUGCAAGAUUAUGUCCUCCCUCUUCUUCUCCUUCAGAUAGUGCUUCAUCAGUCACAUAAUCUGUUAACCAGGUAUGUGAGCAUAAGCCACACAUCCAAACACACGGAAACACUCAACACUAGGCUUCCUGUUACUCCAAGCUUCUUCAGGAGUAGUAUUGGGAACAGCUGUGGUGGGGCUUCUAUUUAUCACAUAGAUGGACCAAUUUACAGCCUCUGCCCAGAAUUGCUUUGGUAAUUCCUUCCCUGACAACAUGCU